AAUCAGUAUAAAAAUCAGGAAUACGCAAUUCGUGCUGCUAAUUUAAAGGUUUAAUUGCUGGAUUCUCAAUGAAGAAAACUUUAUAUUUGUAAAAGCUGGUGCUGCAAGUUGAGAUAAUUUAAUAACAAUUCUACAAUAAUCAAUAGGUUGUCCAUGCCCCCAUGAAGAAGUUAAAAGUGCUGCGAAUGGCAAUAGAAUUGAAUCUCCAGCCACCUGCUUGUACCAUUGUUCUUUCUUCUACCAACACAGCAGCACCCUUGAUUUUCUUCCCGCUCCAUCUGUAUCCCAAUGCAUCUUAGUAAUAUCAGAAUGAUAAGUUCAAUCCCAUGAAAGGUUUUCAUUCU
rnacentral:lncRNA from 1 species